UGCAAAGCCACCUGGACUAGCCUACUACA
rnacentral:piRNA from 1 species